AUUGAACGCUGGCGGCAGGCCUAACACAUGCAAGUCGAACGAGUGGCGGACGGGUGAGUAAUGUCUGGGAAACUGCCCGAUGGAGGGGGCUAACUCCUGGAAACGGUAGCUAAUACCGCAUACCAUCGGAUGUGCCCUGAUGGGAUUAGUUAGAAGGUGGGGUAAUGGCUCACCUAGGCGACGAUCCCUAGCUGGUCUGAGAGGAGGACGAGCCACACUGGAACUAAGACACGGUGCAGACUCCUAAGGGAGGCAGCAGUGGGGAAUAUUGCACAAUGGGCGCAAGCCUGAUGCAGCCAUGCCGCGUGUAUGAAGAAGGCCUUCGGGUUGUAAAGUACUUUCAGCGGGGAGGCGUUACCCGCAGAAGAAGCACCGGCUAACUCCGUGCCAGCAGCCGCGGUAAUAC
rnacentral:rRNA from 1 species